AUUGAACGCUGGCGGCAUGCCUUACACAUGCAAGUCGAACGGUAACAGGUCUUCGGAUGCUGACGAGUGGCGCACGGGUGAGUAAUACAUCGGAACGUGCCCGAUCGUGGGGGCUAACGAAGCGAAAGCUUUGCUAAUACCGCAUACGAUCUACGGAUGAAAGCAGGGGACCGCAAGGCCUUGCGCGAACGGAGCGGCCGAUGGCAGAUUAGGUAGUUGGUGGGUUAAAAGCUUACCAAGCCGACGAUCUGUAGCUGGUCUGAGAGGACGACCAGCCACACUGGGACUGAGACACGGCCCAGACUCCUACGGGAGGCAGCAGUGGGGAAUUUUGGACAAUGGGCGAAAGCCUGAUCCAGUCAUGCCGCGUGCAGGAUGAAGGCCUUCGGGUUGUAAACUGCUUUUGUACGGAACGAAAAGACUCUGGUUAAUACCUGGGGUCCAUGACGGUACCGUAAGAAUAAGCACCGGCUAACUACGUG
rnacentral:rRNA from 1 species